rnacentral:rRNA from 1 species
CCUACGGGAGGCUGCAGUGAGGAAUAUUGGUCAAUGGACGAGAGUCUGACCCAGCCAAGUAGCGUGAAGGAUGACUGCCCUAUGGGUUGUAAACUUCUUUUAUCUGGGAAUAAAACGUUCCACGUGUGGGAUUUUGUAUGUACCAUAUGAAUAAGGAUCGGCUAACUCCGUGCCAGCAGCCGCGGUAAUACGGAGGGUCCGAGCAUUAUCCGGAUUUAUUGGGUUUAAAGGGAGCGUAUGGGGAUUGUUAAGUCAGUUGUGAAAGUUUGGGGCUCAACCGUAAAAUUGCAGUUGAAACUGGCAGUCUUGAGUACAGGAGAGGUGGGCGGAAUUCGUGGUGUAGCGGUGAAAUGCGUAGAUAUCACGAAGAACUCCGAUUGCGAAGGCAGUUCACUGGACUGCAACUGACACUGAGGCUCGAAAGUGUGGGUAUCAAACAGGAUUAGAUACCCGAGUAGUC